rnacentral:tRNA from 1 species
AAAAGACCUAAUAGCUU